rnacentral:lncRNA from 1 species
UUAAAUUAUUAAAUCGAAACUAUUUGUACAGUUUCGGUGAUUUGAAAUAUGAGUUAUGCAAUGUGAAUGGAAAAGACGUAUAUAAUAAAAACAGUAUCAGUGUUAAAAAAAAUAUCAAAAAGAAAAUUGAACCAAGUAACAAAGGUACUGAUAGUAACAUUAUGGUUACGGGAUAUCUCAAUAGUAAAUCAUUAAAAAACGGUUUAGAUGUUUUUGAAACAAAAAAUUUAACAAAGUAUGAAUUGAACAAUGUACUUAAAGUAACUAAUCACAGAAGAUGUAUUCGCAGAAGUUGUAUUCGCAGAAGUUGUAAUCACAGAAGUUGUAUUCACAGAAGUUGUAUUCACAGAAGUUGUAUUCACAGAAGUUGUGUUCACAGAAGUUGUGUUCACAGAAGUUGUGUUCACAGAAGUUGUGUUCACAGAAGUUGUGUUCACAGAAGUUGUGUUCACAGAAGUUGUGUUCACAGAAGUUGUGUUCACAGAAGUGGUGUUUACAAAAGUAGAUUGCACAAAAGUAGUGUGCAGAAAAAUAGUACCUUCAAAAAUAGAAUACACAUAAUUAAUCAGUUGAAAAGGAAUCAUUGCUUUGGUAAUUUUCUCAGAGGUAGUCAUAACAAAAAUAAUUACGACAAUAGUAAUGAAAAAAAGAGUAAUGAUCACAGGAGCAAUGACGACAGGAGCAAUGACGAAAAGAAGAAAGAAGUAGUACAGGUGAAAAAAGAUGAGUGUAUAAAUAAUGACAUAAUAAAUGAAAAGGACACAAAAAAAUGUGAUAAAAACAAUGAAGAUUGUAUAAAUAGUACAGUUCUUAGCACAGUCUUGAGUAGCGCACUAUGUGCACCGGAAGGAGAAAUUUGUGAAAGUAAAAACAAUUCUUGUAUUAAUAGUAACAGCAGUAUAAGCACUAAGAAGAUUAACAACAAUACAGAUAUAAUAAUGAGUUAUAAAUCUAUAGGAAACAAAAAGAGAGCACGUGAUUUCGAUACUAUUAGUCUUCCUCGUAUGAUAAAACAACCAGUUAUCCCUCCUUUAUUUAUUCCUAUAAAUAAAACAUGGACUAAUCUACUUCAUGAGUUUCAAUUUACAGAUAAAAUUAAUAUUUAUAAUAUUGAUUAUAACAAAUUAUUUAUGAUUAAAAAACAAGAAUAUGAAAAAAAUAGAAAUAUAAAAAUGUUAAGUAAUGGUACAAAAAUGGAUUUGCAUAAUUGUAAGCAUAGAACAUGUUCAAAGAUGGUAGCAUCGACUAACGUUAGCAGUAGGAAUCGUAACAGAAGCAAUCAUCAUGGCUACAAACAUAACAGUUGCACUAAUUGCAAAAACAUAGAAGCACACAUAAAUAAUAACAACGAAGAGAUCGAAUUAUAUAUACCUAAUUUUUGGAAAAGUAUAAAAAAUAUAAAU